AUUGAACGCUGGCGGCAUGCCCUACACAUGCAAGUCGAGCGGUAACAGGUCUUCGGAUGCUGACGAGUGGCGAACGGGUGAGUAAUGCAUCGGAACGUGCCCAGUAGUGGGGGAUAGCCCGGCGAAAGCCGGAUUAAGACCGCAUACGACCUGAGGGUGAAAGGGGGGGAUCGCAAGACCUCUCGCUAUUGGAGCGGCCGAUGUCAGAUUAGCUAGUUGGUGGGGUAAAGGCCUACCAAGGCAACGAUCUGUAGUUGGUCUGAGAGGACGACCAGCCACACUGGGACUGAGACACGGCCCAGACUCCUACGGGAGGCAGCAGUGGGGAAUUUUGGACAAUGGGCGCAAGCCUGAUCCAGCAAUGCCGCGUGCAGGAAGAAGGCCUUCGGGUUGUAAACUGCUUUUGUCAGGGAAGAAAUCUUCUGGGUUAAUACCUCGGGAGGAUGACGGUACCUGAAGAAUAAGCACCGGCUAACUACGUGCCAGCAGCCGCCGUAACAC
rnacentral:rRNA from 1 species